AAACUCAGUGAUAACUUAUUGUUACUUGAUUGGAAUUUUUAGAGAAGUAUUUGGACUUUUUCUGCAUCCCAGUUGAUGAGCUAAUAAAUUUCGUUGCGUCCAUUUUCAAUUUUUAUGCGUAAAGGACGCAGGAAUUUGCGUCCUGUAAAUCCCUGCUGCAGAUAACAAAAAG